AUGGCCGAAUGCUUCAAUAGUGUGCUCAAAGGUGCACGUGGAUUACCCGUGACGGCAAUAGUUCAAUACACAUUUGACAAGAUGAAUGCGUACUUUGUAAAGUACUCGAUGGAAACCGAUGCAUAGAUAGCGGGUGAGAACCCACGGAAGUACAAGUACAAGUUCCCACCCAAAGUUGAUGAAUGGUUGGUAUUUCAAUCACGGAAGGCGGACUCAGAAGAAGCUAUAUUAUAUGACAACGAAGAGUGGAAGUACGAAGUGAAAGAGCCAGGAGGAACCACAAACGAUGGCCGGCAACAUGGAGGUCGGGCUUUCAAGGUGUCGUUAACACAAUGUGAUUGCACUUGCGGGAGGCCAUUGUUGCUUCAUCUCCCAUGCUCACACUUGUAUGCCGCCGGUCGCGUUAGGAAUGUGGACAUCAAUCACACACGCACCGUGAGUGAGUCGGAGUUCUCAAUCAUGACGGUCAAGAAAACAUGGGCGCCCCGCUUUCACCCAUACUUUGACCAAUCACAAUGGCCGGAGUAUCAUGGAGUUCAACUAUGGCCGGAUCAGGAGUUGAAGGUUGUUAAACGGGGUAGACGUAAGACAAAGCGUCUUAGAGGCGACAUGGACGGAUGGGGCCAUGGUGGGCGCCGCGGAGCGGGCAACGACCAAUUCCAAGAGCCUCGUGAGAGCUCCCGUUGUGGGAGUGCAAAGGUCAUGGCCACAACAAAAGAAAAUGUACGAAACCAAGGAAAAGGUCCAAGAAAAAUGAUGCAAGCACAAGCCAACAAGGAGCUACACAAGGGAGCCAACCAAGUGGUAGCCAACCUAGUGGUAGCCAACAAGUGCCAAGCCAACCAAGUGGUAGCCAACCUAGUGGUAGCCAACAAGUGCCAAGCCAACCAAGUGGUAGCCAACAAGUGCCUAGCCAACCAAGUGUUAGCCAAAGAGGAUCUAGGCAACAAAGAGGUCGUCAACUUGGACUUACAAGAGGCCGUGGUGGUGGUAGAGGUGGUGGUGGUGGUCUAG
rnacentral:rRNA from 1 species